rnacentral:rRNA from 1 species
GCAACGUGGGAGCGNCGACCCGGCCGCUUGCCCCGCGGCAGAGCCGCGAACGGGUGAGUAACACGUGGGUUACCUACCCCGAUGACCGGGACAACCCGAGGAAACUCGGGCUAAUACCGGAUGUGGUCUUCGGACGAAAGGAAGCUUCGGCCUCCGCAUCGGGAUGGGCCCGCGGCGCAUUAGCUUGUUGGUGGGGUAACGGCCUACCAAGGCGACGAUGCGUAGCUGGUCUGAGGGGACGAUCACCCCCACUGGGACUGAGACACGGCCCACACUCCUACGGAAGGCAGCAGUGGGGAAUCUUGCGCAAUGCGCGAAAGCGUGACGCAGCAACGCCCCGUGGGGGAAGAAGGCCUUCGGGUUGUAAACCUCUUUCUUUUGGGACGAAGGUCCGCCGGUUAAUACCCGACUGGGCUGACGGUACCUUCAGAAGAAGCCCCGGCUAACUACGUGCCACCAGCCGCGGUAAUACUUAGGGGGCAAGCGUUGUCCGGAAUCAUUGGGCGUAAAGAGCGUGUAGGCGGCCCGAUGAGUCCCCUGUGAAAGUCCAGGGCUCCACCCUGGAAUGCCGGUGGAUACUGUCGGGCUCAAAUCCGGAAGAGGUGAGUGAAAUUCCUGGUGUAGCGGUGAAAUGCGCACAUAUCANGAGGAACACCAAUGNCGAAGGCAGCUCACUGCGACGGUAUUGUACGCUGACACGAGAAAGCGUGGCGGAGCAAACAGGAUUAGAUACCCUGGUAGUCCACGCCGUAAACGAUGGCACUACGUGUGGGGGGUGUCGACUCCCUCCGUGCCGGAGCUAACGCAUCACGUGAUCCGCCUGGGGGAGUACUGACGCAACGCCUAAAACUCAUAGGAAUUGACGUGGGCCCGCACAAGCAGCGAGCAUGUUGCUUAAGUUUGACUCACUCAGACCUUACCUUGCCCUUGACAUGAGGGU